CCUACGGGUGGCUGCAGUCGGGAAUUUUGGGCAAUGGGCGCAAGCCUGACCCAGCAACGCCGCGUGAAGGAUGAAAUCUUUCGGGAUGUAAACUUCACAAGAACGGGAAGAAUAAGUAAGGGUUAAUACUCCUUACGAUGACGGUACUGUUUGUAAGCUCCGGCUAACUCCGUGCCAGCAGCCGCGGUAAUACGGGGGGAGCAAGCGUUGUUCGGAUUUACUGGGCGUAAAGGGCGCGUAGGCGGCGCAACAAGUCACUUGUGAAAUCUUCAGGC
rnacentral:rRNA from 1 species